UACGGAGGGCGCAAGCGUUGUUCGGAAUUACUGGGCGUAAAGCGCGUGUAGGUGGCUUGGAAAGUCGGGUGUGAAAUCCCGGAGCUCAACUCCGGAACUGCAUCCGAUACUGCCAAGCUCGAGUCUCGGAGAGGAUGGCGGAAUUUCCGGUGUAGAGGUGAAAUUCGUAGAUAUCGGAAGGAACACCAGUGGCGAAGGCGGCCGUCUGGACGAUGACUGACACUGAGACGCGAAAGCGUGGGGAGCAAACAGG
rnacentral:rRNA from 1 species